rnacentral:rRNA from 1 species
CCUACGGGAGGCUGCAGUGGGGGAUAUUGCACAAUGGGGGGAACCCUGAUGCAGCGACGCCGCGUGGGUGAAGAAGCGCCUCGGCGCGUAAAGCUCUGUCAGCAGGGAAGAAAAUGACGCUACCUGAAGAAGAAUCCGCGGCAAACUACGUGCCAGCAGCCGCGGCCAUACGUAGGGGGCAGGCGUUAUCCGGAUUUACUGGGGGUAAAGGGGGCGCAGUCGGCGCUGCAAGCCAGGAGUGAAAGCCCGGGGUCCAACCCCGGGACUGCUCUUGAAACUGCGGGGCUGGAGUGCAGGAGAGGCAGGCGGAAUGCGUGGUGUAGCGGUGAAAUGCGUAGAUAUCAGGAGGAACACCGGUGGCGAAGGCGGCCUGCUGGACUGCAACUGACGUUGAGGCCCGAAAGCGUGGGGAGCAAACAGGAUUAGAUACCCGGGUAGUC